AAAAUCCUUGGGCUCUCCAUUCCAGGCCCAUCCAGAUCCAUCCUCCGCCAAUGGAACUCCGAUAUGCCGUGCUGGCCGCUGCCGCCGCCAUCCGCCCCAAUGCCUCGGAUGCCUUCUGCUGCCGCAGCCACUACCACCACGACCUCCCCUCCGCCGCCCCUUUCCCGUCUCCUCCGCCCCCUCCCAAUCUCAUCAUUGUCGUCUCCUCAGACCCCCCUCUCGCAUCUGCUCAGACGCCGACAGCUGCAAGUGCACCGCGAGCUACGCGUUGCUUAUACUCGCCGGCGGCAGCGCCACAUGCUACACAUUCUUCUCCAUCGACGCGCUCCACGGCCGCCCCCUUCAGGAGGCACGAAGAGAUUGGCUAUAGACCACACAAGAGAACAGGAGCCAGGGAAAGGCAGAAAACUAUCAGGCAAGAAGUGUUCUACUGCACGUUUGAAUCAUGAUUUGGAUUCUCCUACAAAUUUGUUUCUUUUUUAUCAUACCAAUUAGGUUGCUAUUUUGUUCAUGAUUAUAAUGAUAUGUCUGAUGCCCAAGGCUGUGCUUUUCCUCCACAUUGUCCAAGUUACUCAAAAAUAAAUAGCAUGGCAUUGGAUUUGGUUGCAGUAUAAGUAUCAUAGAUUCAUCUCCACCUAUACCCCAUCUGUGGGUGUCAAUGUCAAUCACUCUGAUUCCUAUAUGCUAGCCUGAGCUGUGAAUCGUUGUCUCAUUGGGACUAAUAUAUAACCUAGAAAUUCUCAAAAUAAAGCAAAACAUCAAGCCCUUGAUCAUGUGGACCCUUACUUAAAAAGGCAUGGAUGUGAUCUAAUAUAAGAUUAUUCCUUGAUUUUCUAAGGUUCCUCACGAUGUGCACACAUGAAGGUUGUUGGACCGUUCAGAUGCUCCUUCAGCGCGCCGUCAUCCUCUUGUCCUCUAGCCAACGUCGAUGACAUUUUGGCAUUGAGGAGAAAGUAUUGCAUCACACAUGUGGAUGUUGCUUGAGUCCCUGGAUACUGGAUCUCCUUGGGAAAAACAGUACUGUUUGUUUAUUUCAAUGUUGAACGUGGUUCCGACUAAAAACGCAAGCUGACAGAGGAGUUUCAGUUUCUUGUGAGGCAGCAUGCUACUGAAUGGAAAAGCCAAGUUAAUACACAGGAACCUGCCGCCCCAAGCACUAGCCAGAAAUGGAGCCCCCCUCCAGAGGAUUGACUGAUGAUUAGUUGUGAUGGAGCUUACUCAAAAAGCACUUCUGAAGGAGGGUAGGGUGUAGCAGCUUGUGAUCAUGAAGGUGACUUUGCCGCUUCUGGACAGCAGAGUCAAGCUAUGCAUGCCGAAGCAUUCACGGUCAAAAAGGCGCUGUUUUUAGCCGAGCAGAGGGGGAUUGGAAGGAUCGUUUUGGAAACUGAUUGCAGGAACCUGAUUGCGGCUGUGAAAUUCAAUGCCUGCAACAGUUCAAGCCUUGGUACCCAUUUGCUAGCAGCAAACGAUGCAGGGGAAAGCCACGGUUUCCAUGCUACUUGGGAAUUGGGACGUGAGCUACCAUGAUGAUGUAAACCAUUUGGUGGCCUGUUAUUUAACUGGGCCUUAAUGGAAUACGAGUGUUCCAUUCAAAAGAAAGGAUGUGGUUCGACGCCAAAUUGCAUUUUAGUAUUUCACGAGUGUUCCAUGAUGAUGUAAACCAUUUGGUGGCCUGUUAUUUAACUGGGCCUUAAUGGAAUACGAGUGUUCCAUUCAAAAAAAAGGAUGUGGUUCGACGCCAAAUUGCAUUUUAGUAUUUCACGGUGGAGCACUUUGAAGGUGGGUGUAUUAAAGAGGAGACCCGGCAGGCUGAGGCCCUCUUGGCUACAUUUGAACAACGCAAAGAUGAGGAUGAUAUGGAGCGGUGCAAAGGAGAAAUUACAGCAUUAUGCUAUCAAAUAACUUUUCAAUGAAUGGUCAAUGAAAUUGUUGAAAUAUGGUUGUUAUAAGAUAGGUUUGUGGUAUUAAGUUUGUCUUUGAGUCAGAAUACUAUUGAGCGUCUUUCAAAAAAAAAAAAGAAUACUAUCGAGCGGA